AACAGCUCCUGAGAUAUUUUCUUCUCUCUCUACGCACAAGCAACGCUCCUUCUGGUUUCGUCGGAAUUCGGACUCUUCGUUGCUUGUUGAACCAGAUUUCAUCUCCUCUCCUUAAUCCGAGUUAAGCUUCUUGCUGAUCACACUUUGUUUCCUGUAAUCGAGGACUUCAGAUCCGCAGAUGUAUUUUUCAUGGCUUCCUUUUCACGCACAGUAGACUUUGUGGCUGGGAUGAUUCGGCGUAGCGGUUUUUGUUCGAUCAAAGUGAGGUGGAUGCAUUGCAUUGGAUUGGAUUGGAUUGAAAUUGGUGCAACAGAAAUGCGAAGUUUGUUUGACAGAACAUUUCGUACCAAAGCUUUUGGUCCUUCGGUUGGAUACAUUUACUGUAGUAUGACAUUUCGCUCCUAAAAGAUUGGCUUUCACUGCGGUGCAAGUUGUCUGCAUUCUGCAUUAUGACAUGGCCAUCCACAACUGUGAAACAGCUUUGCUAAUGCAGUUGUAAUCUGUUGCACAAUUUGAAGAGAUGUUAAUAACAUAAUCAAAAUAGUGAGCUUUGCUUAUUUUUUCUUUUUGGGGUUGGUCCAUUGGAAUCAAUAUGGUAUGCUAUAUUACUCUUUAGUGGGGUUAUAUAUUGCUUUUGCUGGUA